rnacentral:rRNA from 1 species
GAGUUUGAUCCUGGCUCAGGACGAACGCUGGCGGCGUGCCUAACACAUGCAAGUCGAACGGAGUUAAGAAGGAGCUUGCUUCAUCUUAACUUAGUGGCGGACGGGUGAGUAACGCGUGAGUAACCUGCCUUUCAGAGGGGGAUAACGUCUGGAAACGGACGCUAAUACCGCAUGACAUUUCUGUGCCGCAUGACAUAGAAAUCAAAGGAGCAAUCCGCUGAGAGAUGGACUCGCGUCCGAUUAGCUAGUUGGUGAGAUAAAGGCCCACCAAGGCGACGAUCGGUAGCCGGACUGAGAGGUUGAACGGCCACAUUGGGACUGAGACACGGCCCAGACUCCUACGGGAGGCAGCAGUGGGGGAUAUCGCACAAUGGAGGAAACUCUGAUGCAGCAACGCCGCGUGAGGGAAGAAGGUCUUCGGAUUGUAAACCUUUGUCCUUGGUGAAGAAAAGAAUGACGGUAGCCAAGGAGGAAGCUCCGGCUAACUACGUGCCAGCAGCCGCGGUAAUAC